GAUGAACGCUGGCGGCGUGCCUAAUACAUGCAAGUCGAGCGAACAGACGAGGAGCUUGCUCCUCUGACGUUAGCGGCGGACGGGUGAGUAACACGUGGAUAACCUACCUAUAAGACUGGGAUAACUUCGGGAAACCGGAGCUAAUACCGGAUAAUAUAUUGAGCCGCAUGGUUCAAUAGUGAAAGACGGUUUUGCUGUCACUUAUAGAUGGAUCCGCGCCGCAUUAGCUAGUUGGUAAGGUAACGGCUUACCAAGGCAACGAUGCGUAGCCGACCUGAGAGGGUGAUCGGCCACACUGGAACUGAGACACGGUCCAGACUCCUACGGGAGGCAGCAGUAGGGAAUCUUCCGCAAUGGGCGAAAGCCUGACGGAGCAACGCCGCGUGAGUGAUGAAGGUCUUCGGAUCGUAAAGCUCUGUUAUUAGGGAAGAACAAAUGUGUAAGUAACUAUGCACGUCUUGACGGUACCUAAUCAGAAAGCCACGGCUAACUACGUG
rnacentral:rRNA from 1 species